UUUCAAUGCCAUGGCGAUGACAGAAUUACACCACGAACAGCUAGUUAACAACAUGUUUUUGGAUCCAUCAACGCACAGCAUUUUUCCAUGCCUCCGGGCCACCUGUUAUUGUAGUGCUGAAUCACACAAGCGUUAAUUACCAACAUUUACCGAAACACCUCUACGGAAUAACAUUCGCUACAUGACCUUAGCUAUGGGGACACAUAGCUGCCUGUCUGCAAGUCGGGAUGCCUUGUACGAUGGCCCGAGGAGGAACAGCCUAGGAGUGUUCAGAAAGAACUCCGCCUGCAGCAACGGGUGUGCAGCGGCGCCCCUCGGCCUCACCCUGCCCGUGGAGAAAGCUGCAGCCACCAUCCAGAACCAGUUCAGGAAGUACCAGCAGAAGAAGAAGGAGACCAAGUAGAAGCACACCCGCACCACCCGAGCUCUGCAAGACAGACAGACGGACACAAACACACUGGCGGGGGACACAG
ensembl:lncRNA